ensembl:snoRNA SNORD10 small nucleolar RNA, C/D box 10
GCUCUGUGAUGAAGCCCAUGCGUGUCAUCUGAGCCUGACUUUCCUCUUUAGCCCAGGUAGUGUUCUACUUCCCAGGGCUGUCAAUGCAGGGGGAAGUCAUUGGCAAAGGAUCAAUUUUUAAAUCUGAGAGC